AACGAACGCUGGCGGCAUGCCUAACACAUGCAAGUCGAACGAGACCUUCGGGUCUAGUGGCGCACGGGUGCGUAACGCGUGGGAACCUGCCCUUAGGUUCGGAAUAACUCCCCGAAAGGGGUGCUAAUACCGGAUAUUGUCUCCGGCCCAAAGAUUUAUCGCCUUUGGAUGGGCCCGCGUUGGAUUAGCUAGUUGGUAGGGUAAAAGCCUACCAAGGCGACGAUCCAUAGCUGGUCUGAGAGGAUGAUCAGCCACACUGGGACUGAGACACGGCCCAGACUCCUACGGGAGGCAGCAGUGGGGAAUAUUGGACAAUGGGCGAAAGCCUGAUCCAGCAAUGCCGCGUGAGUGAUGAAGGCCUUAGGGUUGUAAAGCUCUUUUACCCGGGAUGAUAAUGACAGUACCGGGAGAAUAAGCUCCGGCUAACUCCGUG
rnacentral:rRNA from 1 species